CACCAAGAAAAUCAAUAGAGGGAUUCUCUCAACUGUUAGGUGUGGACUGAACACUGCAGCUUCAGUUUCAUGUUUUGGAUGCUACCAGACUCAUUCUACAUGGCAACCAUCAUAACCUUCAAGGAGACCAGACAGAAGCAGUGUCACAGAGUGCAGAGAAACCAGAAGAGAGCUAGUCAAAGGAAGACACAAGACCUGAGGAUCUGCACUCUUAUUUUGCAUUUGUCCCUGGUGAAUAAACCCAGUAGAUAUGGCUACAAACAGGAGCUCCAGGGGAAGGCAGACAGAUUCUGCUGCCCAGCUCAAGGCAAAGAGUGAUCUGUGCAACCACUGACAUCCGGCGCUUUGUCUGCAGGAAGGAGGAAACUGUGCCGCUUUUCGUUGCUGCUGCUCUUUCAUUUUGAGAAAAAAGGGUUUGGACCUUUUCAUAAACAUUGUGUUUAAAGACCUGGUACUUUUGAUGAAGCCUUGAUUUUGACUGUACAAGUUUUACAUCAGUUUUUAAGCUUCCAAGGGCUAUUUAUGAUGAAUCCCAGUCAAGGGCUUAUGUUAAGGAAUUCUGGUGCUUGAUUUUUCUAAAGACUGCUCAGAUUAGGUAAAAUAUUUAAAUAAAAUUUCACAGAUGUUGCUUUCCA
rnacentral:lncRNA from 1 species